AUCUGGCCAGCUCAGUCGGUAGAGCAUGAGGUUCUUGAUCCCAGGGUCAUGAGUUUGAGCCUCAUGUUGGAUG
rnacentral:tRNA from 1 species